rnacentral:rRNA from 1 species
AUUGAACGCUGGCGGCAUGCCUUACACAUGCAAGUCGAACGGUAACAGGUCUUCGGAUGCUGACGAGUGGCGAACGGGUGAGUAAUACAUCGGAACGUGCCUAGUAGUGGGGGAUAACUACUCGAAAGAGUGGCUAAUACCGCAUGAGAUCUACGGAUGAAAGCAGGGGAUCGCAAGACCUUGUGCUACUAGAGCGGCCGAUGGCAGAUUAGGUAGUUGGUGGGAUAAAAGCUUACCAAGCCGACGAUCUGUAGCUGGUCUGAGAGGAAGAUCAGCCACACUGGGACGGAGAGACGGCCCAGACUCCUACAGGAGGCAGCAGUGGGGAAUUUUGGACAAUGGGCGAAAGCCUGAUCCAGCAAUGCCGCGUGCAGGAUGAAGGCCUUCGGGUUGUAAACUGCUUUUGUACGGAACGAAAAGCCCCGGGUUAAUACCCUGGGGUCAUGACGGUACCGUAAGAAUAAGCACCGGCUAACUACGUGCCAGCCGCCACCGUAA